GACGAACGCUGGCGGCGUGCUUAACACAUGCAAGUCGAACGGAAAGGCCCUGCUUUUGUGGGGUGCUCGAGUGGCGAACGGGUGAGUAACACGUGAGUAACCUGCCCUUGACUUUGGGAUAACUUCAGAAAGCUGGGGCUAAUACCGGCUAGGUGCUCCUGCUGCAUGGUGGGGGUUGGACAGUUUCGGCUGUUGGGGAUGGACUCGCGGCUUAUCAGCUUGUUGGUGGGGUAGUGGCUUACCAAGGCAUUGACGGGUAGCCGGCCUGAGAGGGGGACCAGCCACAAUGGGACUGAGAUACGGCGCAGUCUCCUACGGGAGGCAGCAGUGGGGAAUAUUGCACAAUGGGCGGAAGCGUGAUGCAGCAGCGCCGCGAGCGGGAUGACGGCCUUCGGGUUGUAAACCGCUGUCGCCUGUGACGAAGCGUGAGUGACGGUAAUGGGUAAAGAAGCACCGGCUAACUACGUG
rnacentral:rRNA from 1 species